rnacentral:lncRNA from 1 species
AACGGAACGCCCACCGAAGUGCGCCGCGCGGUGGUCGGGGCAACACGAGAAAAACGCAUGCGCUCUGGCUGGCUCUGGCCACCCGCGGGUAGCGAGAACAA